UACAGAGGUCUCAAGCGUUGUCCGGAAUUAUUGGGCGUAAAGAGCUCGUAGGCGGUGUGUCGCGUCGGUCGUGAAAACUUGGGGCUUAACCCUGAGCUUGCGGUCGAUACGGGCAUCACUGGAGUUCGGCAGGGGAGACUGGAAUUCCUGGUGUAGCGGUGAAAUGCGCAGAUAUCAGGAGGAACACCGGUGGCGAAGGCGGGUCUCUGGGCCGAUACUGACGCUGAGGAGCGAAAGCAUGGGGAGCGAACAGG
rnacentral:rRNA from 1 species